rnacentral:rRNA from 1 species
UGAAUACGAGACGCUACGGCGUCGAAGCAGUCUAUGUCAUACUUCCAAGAAAAGCUUGCACUGUCAUAAACAAAUAAUGCCUGUACCAUAACCGACACAGGUGGGUAGGUAGAGUAUACUGAGGGGCGCGAGAUAACUCUCUCUAAGGAACUCGGCAAAAUGACUCCGUAACUUCGGGAGAAGGAGUGCCUUAUUUAUAAGGUUGCAAUAACAAGAUCCAAGCAACUGUUUAUCAAAAACACAGGUCUCCGCUAAGUCGUAAGACGAUGUAUGGGGGCUGACGCCUGCCCAGUGCCAGAAGGUUAAAGAAGUUGGUUAGCAUUAGCGAAGCUGAUAACUGAAGCCCUGGUGAACGGCGGCCGUAACAAUAACGGUCCUAAGGUAGCGAAAUUCCUUGUCGGGUAAGUUCCGACCCGCACGAAAGGCGUAAUGAUUUGGAUACUGUCUCAGAGAGGGGCUCGGUGAAAUAGACUUGUCUGUGAAGAUGCGGACUACCUGCACCAGGACAGAAAGACCCUAUGAAGCUUUACUGUAACUUGAAAUUGAAAUCGGACUUUAUUUGCGCAGUAUAGGUGGGAGGCAUUGAUAAUAUUCUUGCGGGAAUGUUGGAGCCAUCAGUGAGAUACCACUCUUGUAAUGUUAGAUUUCUAACUUUGGAUCAUUAUCUGGUCAAAGGACAGUUUCAGGCGGGCAGUUUGACUGGGGCGGUCGCCUCCUAAAUGGUAACGGAGGCGCACAAAGGUUUCCUCUGAACGGGUAGAAAUCGUAUCUAGAGUGUAAAGGCAUAAGGAAGCUUGACUGUGAGACCUACAAGUCGAGCAGGGACGAAAGUCGGUCUUAGUGAUCUGACGGUGCUGAGUGGAAAGGCCGUCAAUCAACGGAUAAAAGUUACUCUAGGGAUAACAGGCUGAUCUCCCCCAAGAGUUCACAUCGACGGGGAGGUUUGGCACCUCGAUGUCGGCUCAUCGCAUCCUGGGGCGGUAGUACGUCCCAAGGGUUGGGCUGUUCGCCCAUGAAAGCGGUACGCGAGCUGGGUUCAGAACGUCGUGAGAUAGUUCGGUCCAUAUCCGGUGUAGGCGUUAGAAUAUUGAGAGGAGCCUUCUUUAGCACGAGAGGACCGAGAAGGACAUACCUCUGGUGUACCAGUUAUCGUGCCAACGGUAAACGCUGGGUAGCUAUGUAUGGAGAGGAUAACCGCUGAAAGCAUCUAAGUGGGAAGCCCACCUCAAGAUAAGUAUUCGC